rnacentral:rRNA from 1 species
AGUGAACGCUGGCGGUAGGCCUAACACAUGCAAGUCGAACGGCAGCACAGUAAGAGCUUGCUCUUACGGGUGGCGAGUGGCGGACGGGUGAGGAAUACAUCGGAAUCUACUUUUUCGUGGGGGAUAACGUAGGGAAACUUACGCUAAUACCGCAUACGACCUACGGGUGAAAGCAGUGGAUCUUCGGACCUUGCGCGAUUGAAUGAGCCGAUGUCGGAUUAGCUAGUUGGCGGGGUAAAGGCCCACCAAGGCGACGAGGCGUAGCUGAUCUGAGAGGAUGAUAGGCGACAAGGGAACUGAGACACGGUCGAGAAUCCGACGGGAGGCAGAAGUGGGGAAUGGGACGAAAGGGGCGAGAGCCUGACGGAGUAAGGACGCGUGAGUGAAGAAGGUGUUCGGAUCGUAAAACUCUGUGAUUAGGGAAGAAAAAAGGUGUAAGUAACUAUGCACGUCGUGACGGUACCUAAGCAGAAAGCAACGGCUAACUACGU